GGAAGAACUGCUUCUGCUCCUUCAACCAGACCAGCUUCAUCUUCACCUGACCGUCUGAGUUCUGGUACUCCAUCAGAAAGUGCUCGCCGCUGUAGUCGAAGGACAGCGUCUUCUUCGCCAUCAUGAUGCAAAUGGAUGUACCUCCACUGAGCCCUCCAGUGCCUCGCUCUUCCAGGGCAGUUUGAUGUUUCCAGACAGCGAUCUGUGCUGGGACAAGUUGGUCCUGUUGAUGACCUUCAGCUCCACCAGUCCACGCUGGAUCUGAACUGAUCGCAGCAACACAACAAACGUUAGGUGUUUACACCAAACCCAGGACAGUUCUUUCUGUCAGGAGAGUUAUUUUUCAAUCUGGAUGUUAUUAAUCAGAUGAAGAAUCACAGAUUAAAGUCAGAAUUCUGAGUUUAACUUCUACAAACAUUUUAAAUGGUGACAGAAAAGUCAAAAUUCUCAAAAAAAAAUCUGAUAUUACGGCCAAAACACAAGUCAGAAUCAAGAGAAAUGUUUCUAAAAUCGCAUUAUGUAAUCGGAUCACCUGUGUGACAGGAGAGCUGGCGGAAGUGUCCGGACAUGAUCUCAGUGCCGGUGUUGUGCAGGACAAAGUGCAGAGUGUAGCCAUGCAGACCAAACUCAGGGUCCGAGUUAUCCACAGGUGGAAGGUCCACAGGCUCAGAGUACGGGCUGCAGGAAGGGACAAACAGGACAAAAACCAGAGGGAAAACCUGAACAAAGUGAAGAUGAAUGAGGCCCAUAUGUGAACAUAUGUGAUUAUAACAGCUUAUGAAAGUGUAACUACACAGAUAACAUGUCUUUUAAAUUCAACAACAGAUAAUAUUGAGGCACGACUCACUGAUCUAAUUAAUAUAUUUACUCAAAUCAUUCAAAAGUGAUUAAAAGACUGAACCGAUACAUUUGUUUUGAAAUUCAAAAAGGUGCUCAAACGUUUAUUUUAAAUGAUGAAGUUUGCUCUUAAUAAUAUUUUGAAACGGAGCAUUUUGAUGUGAACUAAUCCCCAUCAAUAAUCACACAACAUGACUUUCUUCACUCUUAUAUGCUAUGUUCUCUAUUUUCUGAUCUUCUUCUAAAGAUCACAUUUUGAUGGACACUGAUUAUCUCCAUUGAAUUUUAAUAAAAUAAACGAUUUAACAAUUGAA